GGGGGGGCAAGGGGUUUAACUGUUAAGCUGUUAUGGGGCAAUUUAAUUCUUUGUUAUCUGUUAUUCUGAAAAUAUAUUUGCUGUUAGCUAUUAUUGUCUUAUUCUUUGUUAGCUGUUAUUGGGUUUUUACUUUUUUUUGUUAUCUGUUAUUGUGAUAAUGUAUUUGUUGUUAACUGUUAUUGAAAUUGGAAUGUUAGCAUUUUUUUACAGCAAAUUUUCGGUAGAAAUUGAAGAUCAUUUGACAUUGGGGUCUACCACUACUAAUAAGUUGGUCCCGUAUUCGGAGAAGGAUUCCAUUAACAUAUACCCAUCACAGAAGUGAGGUCCAGGGCAAUUCCAGUAUAUCUUAAGAUUAUCCUUUCACAUUAAUAAAUUCCAUUUUUUGGAACAUGUAUUUAGAAUUAUCUUAUUUUUUAUGAGGAUAAUGUUCCUUGGUUCCCG
rnacentral:lncRNA from 1 species